AUUGAACGCUGGCGGCAUGCCUUACACAUGUAAGUCGAACGGCAGCACGGGGGCAACCCUGGUGGCGAGUGGCGAACGGGUGAGUAACACAUCGGAACGUGCCCAGUAGUGGGGGAUAGCUCGGCGAAAGCCGGAUUAAUACCGCAUACGACCUACGGGUGAAAGCGGGGGAUCGCAAGACCUCGCGCUAUCGGAGCGGCCGAUGUCAGAUUAGGUUGUUGGUGGGGUAAAGGCCUACCAAGCCGACGAUCUGUAGCUGGUCUGAGAGGACGACCAGCCACACUGGGACUGAGACACGGCCCAGACUCCUACGGGAGGCAGCAGUGGGGAAUCUUGCGCAAUGGGCGAAAGCCUGACGCAGCAACGCCGCGUGGGGGUGAAUGCCUUCGGGUUGUAAACCCCUUUCAGCAGGGACGAAAUUGACGGUACCUGCAGAAGAAGCCCCGGCCCAACUACGUGCCAGCAGCCGCCGUAAG
rnacentral:rRNA from 1 species